AUCUUCCGCAAUGGACGAAAGUCUGACGGAGCAACGCCGCGUGAGCGAUGAAGGCCUUCGGGUCGUAAAGCUCUGUUGUUAGGGAAGAACAAGUGCUAGUUGAAUAAGCUGGCACCUUGACGGUACCUAACCAGAAAGCCACGGCUAACUACGUGCCAGCAGCCGCGGUAAUACGUAGGUGGCAAGCGUUGUCCGGAAUUAUUGGGCGUAAAGCGCGCGCAGGCGGUUUCUUAAGUCUGAUGUGAAAGCCCCCGGCUCAACCGGGGAGGGUCAUUGGAAACUGGGAAACUUGAGUGCAGAAGAGGAAAGUGGAAUUCCAAGUGUAGCGGUGAAAUGCGUAGAGAUUUGGAGGAACACCAGUGGCGAAGGCGACUUUCUGGUCUGUAACUGACGCUGAGGCGCGAAAGCGUGGGGAGCAAACAGG
rnacentral:rRNA from 1 species